rnacentral:tRNA from 2 species
UGGGAGAUCGGCUAAUGGCAGGCCGACGGGCUCUGGACCCGUUAGUGGGGGUUCGAAUCCCUCUCUCCCAGCCA